rfam:Loxodonta africana unplaced genomic scaffold scaffold_139, whole genome shotgun sequence.
UAAACGGCUCUUUUAAGAGCCACCCACGUUCUCAAUGAAAGAGCUG